AGAGAGCAAUUGACAAAUCAGUUCUCUAGAGUCUCAAAUUUCAAUUCAGGAUAAUUACCUGAUCAGUUACAAGAUUCAAGGUAGCCAUCAUGGAAAAACCUAAAAAUGGCCUAAACAAAGAUUCACAGACUUUUCCUGUUGGUCUCCCUGGAACAUAGCAAUAGUCACCUAAAGGAAUUUUCAAAGAAGCAAGACCCAGCAAGCACUGGGUAGGGUGCAUUCAGAACUGCGAGUGACACACGCAGAACUGUACCCCCAGAACAGACAGGUUGCCCGGACCCCUCCUUCCGUUUCCGUUUUGACUGACAUAUGGCCAGGUCUGCCUAGGGAAUUCGGGUUACCCCCUGAAGAGUAUUAAAGCGCCCCAGUCUCCGAGCCAUUGUGAGGACAUGCUCGAGGCAAGAAGCCUCAAACGUGUUUACACAGUCAAAGGGCUUUCAAGCCCUGGUUUUGGGGUGUGUACACCAUCUUUGCACCUAGUCUGCCUUCGUUUUAACUUGUCCAAAUUCUGAAAGUAUUAUUAAAGCCGUGGGUCUCUGGAAUUUCCUCCCAAGACAGGAAGAAACAUCUGAUUCCUAUGUCCGUGAGAGAAUCACACAAUUUUUACCAAACUCUGAAAUAAAAACAGGCAAAAUCUUGUUACUUGGUCCUUGUUACUUGGUCAAAUGUCUCAAAAAGAUCCAGAAAAAUUGUUUAUGUGAUUUGGAUGUCAUGUUCAUGAAAGUUCUAAUACUUACUUACACACUCACUCUCCCUUUGAGUCUCUGUCUGGGGUUUCUUCCAAAGAAGUUUGUCUAGAAUAUAGAAAUUGGCCAUCUCCUUGGCCAGUCACAGCUGCAGGAUCACACCUGGGGUUUCUAAGAGGAGAAGAAUGUUCUAGCUCCGUUCAUUUCUGCAGCUCCUUGUGGGAAAAAUGGGGAAGGCGGGACGUGCGGCUAGGAAGGCCCCAUCUCUUGGGGUCCCACAGGCAUGAAGAAGGAGGAAGGGUCCAGCGUUAGAGGAGCAGCCAGAGCCCCUCACUACGAGGUCUCUGCUGGAGAACAUGGCAUUAGAAUAGACCUGGGAUUUGUGAAUGGACUCCUUGGAGUAUCAACCAUCCCUACAGACUUCUCUGCUUUAUUUUCAUAGUGGUAACUCUCUUUAUAUUCUCCUUAUAUCCCGUACCACUAUAGGAGUAAGGGUACUUAUUUAGUAUUUAUUAAGAACUGGAAGAUAGCUCAGUAGUAUGGUAUCAAUUCAAUCUGACAGGUAAUAACCAUGUUGGCUUUAAUAGAAGUUUUCUGAUUUGAGCCAAGGUUAUCUUUUAUGUUGGAAUAAAUAUAACUGCAUUACCCAUGCUAGCAAAACAUGGUAGUUACUAUAAUUAAAGAUAUUUUUUUCCUCCAGGUAUGAGGUUGACUUUACCUCCCUCCUUUUAAAAAAUGGACUUAGAGGAAAUUCCCUGACAGUCCAGUGGUUAAGGCUUCCCAGAUGGUUCAGUGGUUAAGAAUCUGCCUAUCAACCCAGGAGAUGCAAGGGCCUCAGGUUCAACCCCUGGGUUGGGAAGAUCCCCUGGAUAAGGAAAUGCCAACCCACUCCAGUAUUCUUGCCUGGGAAAUCUCAUGGAC
rnacentral:lncRNA from 1 species